AACGAACGCUGGCGGCGUGCCUAACACGUGCAAGUCGAACGUGAUUAGAGAGCUUGCUCUCUAUGAAGGUGGCGCACGGGUGAGUAACGCGUAGAUAAUCUACCUGAUGAUUCGGGAUAACACUUCGAAAGGGGUGCUAAUACCGAAUAAGCCCACGGAGUCCUUGGACUCUGCGGGAAAAGGGGGGGACCUUCGGGCCUUCCGUCAUCAGAUGAGUCUGCGUACCAUUAGCUAGUUGGUAGGGUAAAGGCCUACCAAGGCGACGAUGGUUAGCUGGUCUGAGAGGAUGAUCAGCCACACUGGAACUGAGACACGGUCCAGACUCCUACGGGAGGCAGCAGUGGGGAAUUUUGCGCAAUGGGGGAAACCCUGACGCAGCAACGCCGCGUGAGUGAUGAAGGCCCUUGGGUCGUAAAGCUCUGACAGAGGGAAAGAAAUGCAGGGGAGCUAAUAUCUCCCUUGCUUGACGGUACCCUCAAAGGAAGCACCGGCUAACUCCGUGCCAGCAGCCGCCGUAA
rnacentral:rRNA from 1 species